AUUGAACGCUGGCGGCAGGCUUAACACAAGCAAGUCGAGCGGUAACAGGAGAAGCUUGCUUCUUGCUGACGAGCGGCGGACGGGUGAGUAAUACUUAGGAAUCUGCUCAGUAGUGGGGGAUAGCUCGGGGAAACUCGAAUUAAUACCGCAUACACCCUACGGGGAAAAGGGGGCGCUUGCGCUCUCGCUAUUGGAUGAGCCUAAGUCGGAUUAGCUAGUUGGUGGGGUAAAGGCCUACCAAGGCGACGAUCUGUAGCUGGUCUGAGAGGAUGAUCAGCCACACCGGGACUGAGACACGGCCCGGACUCCUACGGGAGGCAGCAGUGGGGAAUAUUGGACAAUGGGGGCAACCCUGAUCCAGCCAUGCCGCGUGUGUGAAGAAGGCCUUUUGGUUGUAAAGCACUUUAAGCAGUGAAGAAGACUCUAUGGUUAAUACCCAUAGACGAUGACAUUAGCUGCAGAAUAAGCACCGGCUAACUCUGUGCCAGCAGCCGCGGUAAUACAGAGGGUGCAAGCGUUAAUCGGGAUUCCUGGGCGUAAAGCGAGCGUAAGUGGCUUGAUAAGUCAGAUGUGAAAUCCCCGGGCUUAACCUGGGAACUGCAUCUGAUACUGUUAGGCUAGAGUAGGUGAGAGGGAGGUAGAAUUUCAGGUGUAGCGGUGAAAUGCGUAGAGAUCUGAAGGAAUACCGAUGGCGAAGGCAGCCUCCUGGCAUCAUACUGACACUGAGGUUCGAAAGCGUGGGUAGCAAACAGGAUUAGAUACCCUGGUAGUCCACGCCGUAAACGAUGUCUACUAGUCGUUGGGGAACUUGAUUCCUUAGUGACGCAGCUAACGCAAUAAGUAGACCGCCUGGGGAGUACGGCCGCAAGGUUAAAACUCAAAUGAAUUGACGGGGGCCCGCACAAGCGGUGGAGCAUGUGGUUUAAUUCGAUGCAACGCGAAGAACCUUACCUGGUCUUGACAUAUCCAGAAUCCUGCAGAGAUGCGGGAGUGCCUUCGGGAAUUAGAAUACAGGUGCUGCAUGGCUGUCGUCAGCUCGUGUCGUGAGAUGUUGGGUUAAGUCCCGCAACGAGCGCAACCCUUUUCCUUAGUUACCAGCGGUUUGGCCGGGGACUCUAAGGAUACUGCCAGUGACAAACUGGAGGAAGGCGGGGACGGCGUCAAGUCAUCAUGGCCCUUACGACCAGGGCUACACACGUGCUACAAUGGUAGGUACAGAGGGCAGCUACACAGCGAUGUGAUGCGAAUCUCAAAAAGCCUAUCGUAGUCCAGAUUGGAGUCUGCAACUCGACUCCAUGAAGUCGGAAUCGCUAGUAAUCGCGGAUCAGAAUGCCGCGGGGAAUACGUUCCCGGGCCU
rnacentral:rRNA from 1 species